rnacentral:rRNA from 1 species
GUGCCAGCCGCCGCGGUAAUACGGAGGGGGCUAGCGUUGUUCGGAAUUACUGGGCGUAAAGCGCACGUAGGCGGACCAGAAAGUUGGGGGUGAAAUCCCGGGGCUCAACCUCGGAACUGCCUUCAAAACUAUUGGUCUUGAGUUCGAGAGAGGUGAGUGGAAUUCCGAGUGUAGAGGUGAAAUUCGUAGAUAUUCGGAGGAACACCAGUGGCGAAGGCGGCUCACUGGCUCGAUACUGACGCUGAGGUGCGAAAGCGUGGGGAGCAAACAGGAUUAGAAACCCCAGUAGUCC